CUGGCUCAGGAUGAACGCUAGCGGCAGGCCUAAUACAUGCAAGCCAAAGGGAGUAGCAAUACUUACUGGCGCACGGGUGCGUAACGCGUAUGCAAUCUGCCCAUAACAGGGGGAUAACAUGUCGAAAGAUGUGCUAAUACCGCAUAAAACAGGGGGCUCGCAUGAGUCUAUUUGUUAAAGAAUUUCGGUUAUGGAUGAGCAUGCGUUCGAUUAGCUAGUUGGUAGGGUAACGGCCUACCAAGGCGACGAUCGAUAGGGGAUCUGAGAGGAUGGCCCCCCACACUGGUACUGAGAUACGGACCAGACUCCUACGGGAGGCAGCAGUAGGGAAUAUUGGGCAAUGGAUGCAAGUCUGACCCAGCCAUGCCGCGUGCAGGAUGAAGGCCUUCGGGUUGUAAACUGCUUUUGAUGUAGAAGAAAGAGCGACGAGUUCGUUAGAUGACGGUAUACAUCGAAUAAGCGCCGGCUAACUACGUGCCAGCAGCCGC
rnacentral:rRNA from 1 species